ACGGAAGGCAGCAGUAAGGAAUCUUGCACAAUGGGGGAAACCCUGAUGCAGCAACGCCGCGUGAACGAUGAAGGCCUUCGGGUUGUAAAGUUCAAAACCCAGGGAAGAAGAAAGUGACGGUACCUGGGGUUAAGCCCCGGCUAACUACGUGCCAGCAGCCGCGGUAAUACGUAGGGGGCAAGCGUUAUCCGGAAUUAUUGGGCGUAAAGAGUGCGUAGGUGGUUACCUAAGCGCAAGGUUUAAUCUUGAGGCUUAACCUCAUUCUGCCUUGCGAACUGGGCUACUUGAGUGCAGGAGGGGGAAGCGGAAUUCCUAGUGUAGCGGUGAAAUGCGUAGAUAUUAGGAAGAACACCGGUGGCGAAGGCGGCUUUCUGGACUGUAACUGACACUGAGGCACGAAAGCGUGGGGAGCAAACAGGAUUAGAUACCCUGGUA
rnacentral:rRNA from 1 species